GUUUCUUUGUGUAGCCCUGCUGUCCUGGAACUCAUUCUGUAGACCAUGCUGGCCUCGAACUCAGAAAUCCACCUGCCUCUGCCUCCCAGAUGCUAGGAUUAAAGGCGCACGCCACCAUUGCCCCGAAAGUUAGAGACAUUUUAAAUUCCAACAUUCAAGAGAUUGAGGCAGGAGGAUUGCAAGUUUGAGGGCAGUCUGGCCUUUAUAGGGAGGUUCUGUUUCCAAAAAUGUCUCUUCAAGCAAAGGUCCAACGUAAGCCACACUCGUGCAGUGUGUGCUCUCAGUGACUCUCCGCUCAUCCUGACUACUCCAUGUAGAAACGGAGGGUGACGGAGGGCGAGCAGCCCUGCCUGACAUUAGGUAGUAGAUUGUUCGUAUAAGGAGUUAGUUUACUCAUUUGCCAUGUAGACCUGAGUGUGACACUGCUCAAAACUUGUCUCACACACAGAAACUGAAGUUUCCAUCUUACACUUUUAAAAACCCAGCCCUUCUUGCCAGCCCCUUUCACCAUGGGACCUAAAUGCAUCUACUGCUGCCACACAAAUACCCCCUAAAUUUUUCCUGGCUUUGAUAGCUUCUAAGAGAUGCAAAUUGACUUCUUUUCCCAAAGGCAAGAUAGACUCACUGGGACCAAAUGACUUACAGGCCGCUGGGCAGAACUUUCUUUCAGAAAUGCUAACAUAGUGCUUGUUGUUAACCUUCAGAGCACCCAGAUGAGCUUCCCUAGAAGUGAGAAGGGGCCUGGAUGAGUCAGCGCUGCUGAGUGACUACCCCAAGCACUUGCUCCUCUUCAUAUCAGAAAGUAUGGAUAUCCCAGGAUGUGCCCAUGCCUAUAAUUCCAGCUUUUGAGAGGUGGAGACAGGAGGAUCUAGAAGUGUCAGGCCAGCGUGGGCUACAUAAGAACCAGUGUCAAAAAAACUGAAGAAAAAAAUAAAAAGAAACACAGAUGUCAAGACUUCUGUUACUCCAGGAGUGAGCCACUGCAGAGUUCAGGCUCUCUGUGCCAGGAGCAGGGCUGGGCCCACACUGGUUCUUGGUUUUCUUAUCUGUAAAAUAAGAUCUGAGCACAUGAAGCCCAAGAUAGUCCAGGGUGUUGUGGGGUGGACACCUGGCUUUCACAGUGACUGUGAGAAGGAUUAAACCUGUGCCAGUGGUCAGAGACUGCCCAGCUUGGGCAGCUACCAGGAGGACAUCCUUUUUGCUGUUAUGACUCUCAGGUUGAUUGGCUGGUAUCAGAGUGGCCAUAAUACAAAGUGGCUCUUGAGACAGCAGAAAGCAUGGUGUCUUGCUGGAACAAUUCAGCUGGGAGGCUGGGCGUGGCCAGUGUCCAUUUGUACAAAUGCAGGUCCCCCCAGCUGGUGAAGGGCUGUGGUGGCACUGAACACUGAGUGCAAGUGGCAGGCUGUCCCAGAAGACCCAAGGAAAUGGGACACAGCUCUGUUUACACCAUUUUUUUCAGGUGGUCAGAUUUUCCAAUACUUAAACCUCUGAGCAAUAUCUUGUAGCACAUGGGAGACUGGCUAUGCAAACAUCAGCUAUUGUUUUCCUAUAUUAUAUUAAACUGUGCUGAUUGAGGUAGAUUUCUGAAAUGUGACAUGGAAAUGCUUGAGGAGUUUGUGCUCUAGAAUUGCUCCCAUAUAAUACGAACGUCUUGUCUUUGCAGUGGAUCAUCAAUAAAGCACCAGUGUAAUGUUGG
rnacentral:lncRNA from 1 species